rnacentral:rRNA from 1 species
GACGAACGCUGGCGGCGUGCUUAACACAUGCAAGUCGUACGGUAAGGCCCUUUCGGGGGUACACGAGUGGCGCACGGGUGAGUAACACGUGAGUAACCUGCCCACAACUUUGGGAUAACGCUAGGAAACUGGUGCUAAUACUGGCUAUGUGCUCCUGCUGCAUGGUGGGGGUUGGAAAGCUCCGGCGGUUGUGGAUGGACUCGCGGCCUAUCAGCUUGUUGGUGGGGUAGUGGCCUACCAAGGCGGCGACGGGUAGCCGGCCUGAGAGGGUGACCGGCCACAUUGGGACUGAGAUACGGCCCAGACUCCUACGGGAGGCAGCAGUGGGGAAUAUUGCACAAUGGGCGCAAGCCUGAUGCAGCAACGCCGCGUGCGGGAUGACGGCCUUCGGGUUGUAAACCGCUUUCGCCUGUGACGAAGCGUGAGUGACGGUAAUGGGUAAAGAAGCACCGGCUAACUACGUG